rnacentral:rRNA from 2 species
ACGAACGCUGGCGGCAGGCUUAACACAUGCAAGUCGAGCGCCCCGCAAGGGGAGCGGCAGACGGGUGAGUAACGCGUGGGAAUCUACCCUUUGCUACGGAAUAACGCAUGGAAACGUGUGCUAAUACCGUAUGUGUCCUUCGGGAGAAAGAUUUAUCGGCAAAGGAUGAGCCCGCGUUGGAUUAGCUAGUUGGUGGGGUAAAGGCCUACCAAGGCGACGAUCCAUAGCUG